UUAGCACAUAUUUGUAUGAAAUGGGAUCGUUUGCCUUCCUUUGCCGCUAGGGGCGCUGUUCCAACUGCAUACAAAAUUGGGUUA
rnacentral:pre_miRNA from 1 species